GUCAACAGACAUAUUACCUUGAAGGUGCCUGGUCUCAUAUGAUCUCGGAAGAUAAGCGGGGUCAGGCCUGGUUAGGAUUUGAGUGGGAGACUUAGGGUGCAUAAGAAUAAGAAAGGCUGUUGUUC
ensembl:rRNA 5S_rRNA 5S ribosomal RNA